GAUGCGGAGUGAAAUACAAGUAGCGAAGUCCGUGAGCCAUGCGUCAAGAAAAGCCGCUAUUGUUUAUACCGUACCCGUACCGUAAACCGACACAGGUGGAUGAGGAGAGAAUCCCAAGGCCGGCGGAAGAAGCAUUGUCAAGGAACUCGGCAAAAUGACCCCGUAACUUCGGGAGAAGGGGUGCCACUGAGAAGUGGCCGCAGAGAAUAGGCUCAAGCAACUGUUUAGCAAAAACACAGGUCUAUGCGAAACCGAAAGGUGAGGUAUAUGGGCUGACGCCUGCCCGGUGCUGGAAGGUUAAGAGGAGAGGUUAGCCAAAAGGCGAAGCUUUGAAUUUAAGCCCCAGUAAACGGCGGCCGUAACUAUAACGGUCCUAAGGUAGCGAAAUUCCUUGUCGGGUAAGUUCCGACCCGCACGAAAGGCGUAAUGAUUUGAGCGCUGUCUCGACAAUGCAUCCGGUGAAAUUGAAGUACCAGUGAAGAUGCUGGUUACCUGCGCCAGGACGGAAAGACCCCAUGGAGCUUUACUCCAGUUUGGUACUGGGGUCCGGUAUUGCAUGUACAGGAUAGGUGGGAGGCUAGGAAGCAGUAACGCCAGUUGCUGCGGAGCCGCUGUUGGGAUACCACCCUUGCAGUACUGGGCUUCUAACCAGCCGCCGUGAACCGGCGGUGGGACAAUGCCAGACGGGGAGUUUGACUGGGGCGGUCGCCUCCGAAAGGGUAUCGGAGGCGCCCAAAGGUUCCCUCAGAAUGGACGGAAACCAUUCGAAGAGUGCAAAGGCAGAAGGGAGCUUGACUGCGACACCGACGGGUGGAGCAGGUACGAAAGUAGGGCUUAGUGAUCCGGUGGUAUUAAGUGGGAAUGCCAUCGCUCAACGGAUAAAAGCUACCCUGGGAUAACAGGCUUAUCACUCCCAAGAGUUCACAUCGACGGAGUGGUUUGGCACCCGAUGUCGGCUCAUCGCAUCCUGGGGCUGUAGUAGGUCCCAAGGGUUGGGCUGUUCGCCCAUUAAGGCGGUACGCGAGCUGGGUUCAGAACGUCGUGAGACAGUUCGGUCCCUAUCCGGCGUGGGCGUAGGAUAUCUGAGAGGAGCUGUCCUUAGUACGAGAGGACCGGGAUGGACGGACCGCUGGUGUACCGGUUAGACUGCCAAGUCUACGGCCGGGUAGCCAAGUCCGGAAGGGAUAAACGCUGAAGGCAUCUAAGCGUGAAGCCCCCCUCAAGAUGAGAUGUCCCAUUCGAAAGAAGUAAACCCCCUUGAAGACGACGAGGUAGAUAGGGCAGAGGUGGAAGUGUGGUAACACAUGGAGCUGACUGUUACUAAUAGGGUGAGGGCUUGAUC
rnacentral:rRNA from 1 species